AUUUACAGGAAACAAAUAGUCUUUCCCAUCACUCCAAUCUUUACUUAUCUACCUUGGCUUAACUCAUUAACUCCCACGACUGAUGUUGGGGUGCGAAAGCAGGGGGAGCAAACAGGAUUAGAUACCCUGGUAGUCCAUGCCGUAAACAAUGAGUGUUCGCCCUUGGUCUACGCGGAUCAGGGGGCCAGCUAACGCGUGAAACUCUCCGCCUGGGGAGUACGGUCGCAAGACCGAAACUCAAAGGAAUUGACGGGGGCCUGCACAAGCGGUGCUUUAGCUAGGAGCCUCUUUUCCUUCUGCCCAGCUCCCCGAAAACAACGUUCGACUUGCAUGUGUUAAGCAUAUAGCUAGAGUUCCUUCUGA
rfam:Triticum aestivum genome assembly, contig: Triticum_aestivum_CS42_TGACv1_scaffold_146598_2BS